CUUCAUCUGGGACAUAUUCCUCUGUGGUAUCAUUCUGUCUGACUUCCUGUGAUUGUGGUUUCCAUUCCACAGGCUUCAAGGUUGUAGUUCUUCAUGCUUCUGGUGUCUACCCUCUGGUGGAUGAGGCUGAGACUUCCUGGUGGGAGGUACUGGUGCCUGCCCACUGGUGGGUGGAGCUGGGCCUUUUCCAUCUGGUUGGCAGGGCUGUGUCAGGGGGUAUGCUUAUUUGGCAGUUGUUUAUUCAAGAAGACUUUAAGCAACCUGUCUGCUGAUGGGUGGGGCUCUGUUCCUGCCCUGUUGGUUAUUUGGCCUAAGGCAUCUCAGCACUGAGGCCUACAGGUUUUUGGGUGGGGCCAGGUCUUGGUGAGAAAAUGGCAACCUCCAAGAGGACUCACACCAAUGAACAGUCACCAGAACUGCUGCCGCCAUUGUCCUUGUCUCCACAGUGAGCCACAGACACCCUCCUGCCUCUGCAGGAGACCCUUUGAUACCAGCAGCACAUCUUUUAAGAUGAGGACCUUGAAGUGGAGAAACUUACGGCUUCCUUUCCUGCUUCUGAUGCAAUGUGAAUAGAAAUUAUGUUAGCAGGACUCAUUGGCUGAAGGGACUAGAAAUACAAGAGAAGGAAAACAGGUAAGAAAAGAACUGCAAUUUGAAACUAGAUCAAUGCUUAAAGCUGUGGAAAGGAGUGUACAAUCAUUGGUAUGUAAUAGAUAAAAACGAACAACACUUUUGAGUGACUGGCAGUGGAGGGAAGCAGGGCAUAGGUUUGGGAGAAACGUGGGAUAUUGGUAAAAUUCUACUUCUGAAGUGCAGUGGCAGGUUCAUAGUUAUUUCACCUUUUAUUCACGCUUUAUGACUUUUGAAUCUCCCACAGAGUCUUCUGUAUGUGUUACACACACUUGCCUAAAAAAUUAGUAACUGGAAAUUUCACCCAAAUAGGUAAAUUAAUCUAACUGCUAUGCUAACUGGUAACUUUUGGAAAAAUCACACUCUCCCCCUAAAAUGGAAAUGGUACAGGACACAGGCAUGGUGCUCAGCUAGACCUGGUUGUGAUUCUGGCUUCCCCACUUCGCUGUCUCCCUGCAUGUUUCAUCCUGCGCAAGUGGAUGACCUACCCUCUGCAAUUCACCUAUGGUGCUCAGGAGGCAGUUCAAUAAUGAGCUGACAGGACUGAGCAUGAUCAAAGUUGUUCGGAGUCUUUGGUGAGCCCUGGGUGUCCAACAUAAACACCUGCAGGGGUAUACAGAGGUACGGUUCAGCGCCACCGUCCUCGACCUGCCUCCACCUGGGAUCAGCUGGAUGGCCCUCGGCAAGCGGCUUACUCUUUCUACUCAUUUUCUCACCUUUAAAAUGAGGACUACCAAGAAAAAUAUACAGAAUAUGUUCUCUGCUCCUAACUCAUCAGCUUACAACCAACUUUUGUGACUUCUGCCAUGUGUCAGAGGAAAAAGUCAUUGGUACAUGGUGGUUCCUGCAUGGAUAAGUACAUUUUAAUUUUACUGAUUCGUUAACAUUCAACUCAAAUUUACUAUGCACCUUGUAAAUGUUAAGCUCUUUGCUCCACAUGGGAGAUAUAGGGAAAAAAAUCAAGUAAGUUUACUAUCUUUAGGCACUCAUAGUCUAGCAUUAACAACAGUAUUUCAGUAACUAUUUACAAUAUAAGUAGUGCAAGCAAAUCACAUUAUGUAUGGAGUGCAGUGCUGGUGGAAAAGGACCCUGUUUGAUCAGGGCUCGGGAGGAUACAACAUGCUAGAGAUGGUGAGAGGACCAUAACGCUGGUGAGUGGGUUCAAGUUAUUUUUGGAAAAGAACAGCACUGGCCAGAGGUCAGAGCCAGGAGGUAUACGUCCCUACGGGAAUGAAAGGCAGUUCGGUGAUGCGUGGCCUUCAGGAAGGAUUCCCAGCAAUAUCUCAAGCUCCCAGAGCCCCGAGGAUCAAAAGCCCCGGCCCUUACCUGCUGAGCCAUGGCUCGGAUGCGCCAGUACUCGGCCUCGGCGCUGGGGGAGGAGGACGGGGCGGCCACCCUCACCUGGCAGCCGUCCCCUCUGAAGCUCUCGGUGCCGCUGUGGAAGCAGCCCAGCAGAUCCUAGGGAGAAACACAGCAGUCAUUCGCUGGUGCAGCUGCGUUCAUGGCUCCAGGCCCUGUCCGGGAUCUGACAUCGUCACUGUGUCUGGGACAAAGUACUCGUCCAGCUACCCUGUUCUCAAGUGAGACCGACUGCUAGGAGGAGGGAGGCGGAGUCCAGGCGGCCCAGCCUGAGCCUCGCCAGGGAGCUGAGGAA